CUGCCCUCAAGCACGGCUUGUGUGUUGGGUGCGGUCCCCCCGGGGACCCGCCCGAAAGGCAGCGGCGACGUCCGUCUGGUCCUCGAGCGUAUGGGGCUUUGUCACUCGCUCGGGAAGGACCUGCGGGGGUUGGUCACCACCAUAUUUUUACCAC
rnacentral:misc_RNA from 1 species